GUGGGGAAUCUUCCGCAAUGGACGAAAGUCUGACGGAGCAACGCCGCGUGAGUGAAGAAGGUUUUCGGAUCGUAAAGCUCUUUCGUUAGGGACGAACGUGCUCUUUGUGAAUAAUGAGGAGUAAUGACGGUACCUAAAUAAGAAGCCACGGCUAACUACGUGCCAGCAGCCGCGGUAAUACGUAGGUGGCAAGCGUUGUCCGGAAUUAUUGGGCGUAAAGCGCGCGCAGGCGGGAUAUCAAGUCUGUCUUAAAAGUGCGAGGCUCAACCUCGUGAGGGGACAGAGACUGGUAUUCUUGAGUGUCGGAGAGGAAAGUGGAAUUCCAAGUGUAGCGGUGAAAUGCGUAGAGAUUUGGAAGAACACCAGUGGCGAAGGCGACUUUCUGGACGAUGUCUGACGCUGAGGCGCGAAAGCUAGGGGAGCGAACGGGAUUAGAAACCCGAGUAGUCC
rnacentral:rRNA from 1 species